CCCCGCACUCCGCCAGCAGGGAGCGCACGCCCAGGUGCAAGGAGCUGGCACCUGGGUACACGCCUGGCCACACACCUGUGCAGAGCCGAUGGCAGGCCCUCCCGGCACAGGAAUGGCGCGCCCCCAGCUGCCGCCACUUCUGCUUUUGGUGCUGGUGCUGCCACUAAAAGCUGAUGACAGUAACACUACCAGUACUCCCUACACAGGUACGACCUCAGAGAACAGUAUGGAGACAUCAUCUCUCAGCUCUCUGAUUUCUUCUCCCUUCACCCACAACACCCUCAGUUCAGAGGAACCCCCCAAAACCUACUCCAGCCCCCUUAGUUUGGAGACAGGCUCCAUGACCCACCUCAGCCCCUCAAGUUCAGGGGCAACCCCUACCAUCCAGCCCAGCCCCGGUUCCACAGAGUCAAGGAUGAUUCCCUCCUCCCCACAACCAGAGACAACCACGCACCCUAGUUCUGGUUCCCCCAAUGCAGAGCUCACCCCCUCUUCCCAUUCCACCCUCCCCAGUUCCGAAUCCCUGACCCCGCACUGGAGCCCCACUUCCCACAGCCCCGGAACAGAGCCCUUGACCUCCACUGACCAGACCUUGGAGCCCUCUGGCCCAGCUCCAGGUGACACUGGGCCCCCUGAGUUACACAGGAACCCGGGUGUGGUGGUGGUUGUGUGUUUGCUGGUGUCUCUUUUGCUCAUCGGGUCUGUGGUCACGGCUGUGAGGUUCUGUCACCGGGAUGAGUCCACGUUUGAGAAGCUGGACGAGGUGUCCAUGGGAUCCGUGGAUGACAGAUUGUCCUUUGCCCACCACCUCCAGGAGUGAGCCCUGAGGAGCCAACAGAGAUGCGGGCGUGGAUGGGGCUGGGGUGCCUGGGGAGGAGAAGAACCUGAGGAAAUAAACCCCCUACCAUUCAUCCAAGGCCUCCUGAGUUAUGGAUUCGUGUGACAAACAUUAGCUGAGUACCUACUAUGUGCUGGGCUCUGUGCUGGAGUCACAGUGGGGACCAUGUCUUUACUUUCAGGGGAGCCACAGACUCAAGGCGGGGACAGAUAAGAAUCAGGAGAUCACUUGGCUGGGCGUGGUGGUUCACACCUGUAUCCCAGCACUUUGGGAGGCUGAGGCGGGCAGAUCUCCUGACCUCAGGAGUUUGAGACCAGCC
rnacentral:lncRNA from 1 species